AUUGAACGCUGGCGGCAUGCCUUACACAUGCAAGUCGAACGGUAACAGGUUAAGCUGACGAGUGGCGAACGGGUGAGUAAUGUAUCGGAACGUGCCCAGUCGUGGGGGAUAACUACUCGAAAGAGUGGCUAAUACCGCAUACGACCUGAGGGUGAAAGCGGGGGACCGUAAGGCCUCGCGCGAUUGGAGCGGCCGAUAUCAGAUUAACUAGUUGGUGGGGUAAAAGCCCACCAAGGCGACGAUCUGUAGCUGGUCUGAGAGGACGACCAGCCACACUGGGACUGAGACACGGCCCAGACUCCUACGGGAGGCAGCAGUGGGGAAUUUUGGACAAUGGACGCAAGUCUGAUCCAGCCACGCCGCGUGCGGGAAGAAGGCCUUCGGGUUGUAAACCGCUUUUGUCAGGGAAGAAACGAGUUUCUCUAAUACAGAGACUUAAUGACGGUACCUGAAGAAUAAGCACCGGCUAACUACGUGCCAGCAGCCGCAGUAACAC
rnacentral:rRNA from 1 species